CCAGAAAGUCUUAAAGCCGAAUGAACAUAUUUGAGAUGUACUCACAUACAGCAUGAGGAUAUUAAUAAAAUAGCAUAACGUUACAUAACAACUGAAAGCAUCUCUAAAAAUAGUGGCGUCAUAACUUUAAUAUUGGACUCUGGUAGUAUUGCCAGACCUUCUCCAGCUAACGUUAACUAACGUUACGUUUGGACUGGUGACAGAACUAGCUAACUUAGCUAGACCAGAUGUUGUAACAUAACAUAAGUUACAACUUUUCCUCCUUUUUACUUUAAAAACCCCAUUGUCUGAAAGGGUUAGCUAACGUUUGUAGCUAGCUGUAACUAAGUUGUCAUUAUUUUAGAUGAGGGUAACACCGGGAUAAAGAAGGGAAGCAAGUUUUAGACUAACGUUAACUUAGCUUAACGUUAGCUGCAUCUGUAGUGAAAUUAAACGGUUUAUAAUACAUACAAUCGCGGGGGGCAGGGGCAUGAGGUUGGACAGGACACAACAUCCCCACACGUAACGUUAACGUUACUUUAGUCUAUGCGACAGGCGACCCGUAACGUUUCACCGUGAACACAUCAACGCUCUUUCAGCAAAGAGUCGUUAAAGCAGCGUCGACACACAUUUGCUAACACUUGACGGUUUUAUUACUUAAACGAGUGCUCACCUGUUUACAUGUAAUGUCGGCUCCAAGGUCUUCUCUGUUGUUGCUGUUCCCCCCGUCUUUAGCCUGAGUGCGAAACCUGUAAGUGCCCGCCGGUUGCUGGUGAUGUGGACGCAGAUACCUACCAGUUCUCCUGGCUGCUGCUGCUGCUGCCUUCACGUGCUGUCGGUUAUCAGAAGUGCUCCAUAAAAAUGAUGGCACACGGCUUGUCAGCUGGGUGGACAAGGGAGGAAGAGGGAUGAUGACCGGCCUCUAUUCUGAUGUUCAAUCCCAUUUCACUUCAAAAUCUUCCUUCAGACAUUCCCCCUUGUUUUGGGCAUUUUAAGGGAAUAUCGAACAUCAUCAUCACCUUUCCGAGGAUCCUGCCCAGAAAGUAGUAAUGCCUCGUGAAGGAGUCCCCGACCAGCAUCUCUGCAGCGGGGCUGGGGUACAGCAGGCCCUCGUUGGUCGUCUUGAAGAAGCCCUGGUUGGGAUUGAAGCCCGACUUGAGGAGCUCGUUGAGGAACUCUCGAAAGAUGCCGCCACCGUCAAUGCCCGCCUCGUCCAGACCGUGAGCAUUCAGCAGAUGGACUCUAAUCCUUUUCUUCAGGUCCGGCUCUAACGUAAGGACACAGAGCAUGAGGAAGAAUUUACGAUAGUAAAAAAAUAGACAAAAUGUUGUCCAAUAAAGUUA